GCCACAGAGAAUUCAAUUACAAGUCACGCAUCUUUCUUCCUGUUACCUUUCCCUCUCCUCCUGCUGUCCCCCUUAAAAAUAAAGACAGCAUGCAGCCUUGCAUGGUCUGACAUAGAAACUCUUGCUCUUUUUGUCCAAAUCCUCACCAAAAUCCAGCUGGGCCCCAGCAUUAUUUUCAGUCCUGCCAGAGCAGGGGGAAGACCACUAUCUGGUGUCCUGUUGCAAGAGUUUUGUCUUCUGCUUCAGAAAGAAACUGAGCAAAUCAUUUUGAGCUAUUACUGCAAGCAGAAGGAUCAAUCUCUGUUUCUAUCUUGCUCUCCAGAAUCUGGGAAUUGGCUGUUCUGGAGGGCUGUGCAGCUUUCCACGAGAGUGGGUGCAGAAGUGAUUUGCUUUUGGAAGCUCUUCAGCAAGCUCUGGGAGCAGGAAGAUACAGCCAAGAUACUGGAGUUGCCCGUGGCUUUCCAGGAAGACCAGAAGGACUUGAGCUCUCCAUCCAGAUGGAUUCCCGAGCUAUCAGGAGGAGAGGUGCGCGGGGAGCAGCCGGGAGCACAGCGUGCCCAGCUCCAUGUGCCUCCCACCAGCAGCUCUCGCCUGCCCGGGCACGCAUGGAGCACGCCGUGCUGCCUGAUGGCAUACGAAACCACCAGGUGGCUCCGGCACACCCUGACUCCUGCAUUCAAAUACAAGAGAGAGGUGCAGGAAGGGGUGCCGUGACCUCAUUUCAUGGAGCAGGAUGGGACCAUCGCUCCACCAGCUGAGAAAAUGAACGUGGACCUGCCACGGACACGCGCUGGAUUUUUCGUGGGGGGACGCUGUACCUGAGCCACAAGGCAG
rnacentral:lncRNA from 1 species